rnacentral:rRNA from 1 species
GACGAACGCUGGCGGCGCGCCUAACACAUGCAAGUCGAGCGAAGCGGCGAACGGGUGAGUAACGCGUGAGGAACCUGCCUCUCACAACGGGAUAGCCUCGGGAAACCGGGAUUAAUACCGUAUGGUGAGAGAUGGCCUCGCGUCUGUGUAGUUAGUUGGUGGGGUAACGGCCUACCAAGACGACGAUCAGUAACCGGCCGUGUAGUGUGAACGGUCACAUUUGAACUGAUACACGGUCCAAACUCCUACGGGAGGCAGCAGUGGUGAAUCAUGCACAAUGGGUGGAACCCUAAGGCAGCGACGCCGCGUGAGCGAUGAAGGUUUUCGAAUCGUAAAGCUCUGUCCUAUGGGAAGCGGUACCAUAGGAGGAAGCCCCGGCUAACUACGUGCCAGCCGCCGCGUAAUAC